AGAGUUUGAUCCUGGCUCAGAGCGAACGCUGGCGGCAGGCCUAACACAUGCAAGUCGAACGAACUCUUCGGAGUUAGUGGCGGACGGGUGAGUAACACGUGGGAACGUGCCUUUUGGUUCGGAAUAACUCAGGGAAACUUGUGCUAAUACCGAAUGUGCCCUUCGGGGGAAAGAUUUAUCGCCAUUAGAGCGGCCCGCGUCUGAUUAGCUAGUUGGUGAGGUAAAGGCUCACCAAGGCGACGAUCAGUAGCUGGUCUGAGAGGAUGAUCAGCCACAUUGGGACUGAGACACGGCCCAAACUCCUACGGGAGGCAGCAGUGGGGAAUCUUGCGCAAUGGGCGAAAGCCUGACGCAGCCAUGCCGCGUGAAUGAUGAAGGUCUUAGGAUUGUAAAAUUCUUUCACCGGGGACGAUAAUGACGGUACCCGGAGAAGAAGCCCCGGCUAACUUCGUG
rnacentral:rRNA from 1 species